rnacentral:rRNA from 1 species
UACGUAGGGUCCGAGCGUUGUCCGGAAUUACUGGGCGUAAAGAGCUCGUAGGUGGUUUGUCGCGUUGUUCGUGAAAACUCACAGCUCAACUGUGGGCGUGCGGGCGAUACGGGCAGACUUGAGUACUGCAGGGGGAGACUGGAAUUCCUGGUGUAGCGGUGGAAUGCGCAGAUAUCAGGAGGAACACCGGUGGCGAAGGCGGGGUCUCUGGGGCCGAUACUGACGCUGGAGGAGCGAAAAGCGUGGGGGAGCGAACAGG